AGAUGGUGUCUUGAUUUUUUUCUUUUUUUUUUUUCAGAUUGGCUAGCAAUAGAAUUCAAAGGACUAAAGAGUCUGUGUGAUGCUACAGAUGAAAGCUCUACCCAGAAGAUGUGGGUUUUGGAGGAAAGAAGAUUUUAGUGAAUGAUGAGCCAUCAGCAGGCCGCUCUGAUGAUGAGAUACCCUGCCAGGUAAUUCCCAGUUCUCUGCUGCCCACCCCACAACUUCCUCCUUCCUUGAAGCUACUCCUCAAGGACAUCCUUGGCAAACAGACUUCCUUUUUGCCCGACCUAAAAAAAGCGCUUUUAAAAAGUCCCACGGUUAUUUCCCAUUUCCCAGCAAAUGUAUAUUUACAGUAAUUAAACAUGUAGAAUUGAUGGUUUGUUGAGCAGAGAGGGAACCUGGAAGCAAAGAGAGAAUCUUGUAUGUUUCCAGCCCAUCUGCUCAGCCUCUUCCCCACCUUUCCCCAAGUAAGGAAGAGUUGCUCAGCCAAUUGUUCAGUGUGGGAUAACUGACUGGUGCUCUGAUUUAGAGUUAUUGUGUUCAUGCUCACAUGCUCAUAGGUUCUCUUUUGUGGUCCUUCAUUGUACUGUUGGUGUGGUGAGAAGGCCAAAUGCUGCCUUGUUGCUCCAUUAAAUCAUGCCUUUGUUUUUUAGUCAUCGCUUUGAUUUCUGAACCAUAUGACUGGCCAUAAGAUGGAAAGAGCCUAAUAUGGAUUAGGGAUUGGGGAUAAGAAGAGGCUCUAUUUAAUUGCUUAGACAAUUCUGCAUCCACAAUCCAACCUAGUUUUAUCUUCACUUUGCACUGGAGGUGAUUGAGCAGGGCUAAGCCAAUGAAAAACAAACAAAACCCCUAGUGCUUGCUUUGCACUUUGCUUCCAGGAUAGGUAUAUGCAUGCCAGCACUUGUGUCUCAGCAGGAGACUCUGAAGAAGGAUGAUUGUUGGAGAAGAAUAUGCAUAUUUGGAUCCUUUAGCCAAAUAUCUUGAACAACACCCAGUAACACCUCUCUAACAAGUAUGUUACAAACAAUGUCUAAAAUAAGAAAGCUGUUUUAUUGAGAUAAUAUCUAGGCCAUUUAUUAAUUCAAAUGAUUGGGAAUUGGCCACAUUGUGGCAGCCUAUGUAUGUUCAGAGGUAGGCCAUCUCAAAGGUGAAACUGUGUUACACACUGUUAUUAGAGAUAUGCAACGUGUACCUUGAAAGCAGAUUUGCACUUAUUUAUUGCAUUGAUGUACAACAAAAGAGAAUAUCAUUCUUCUCACUCUUUGUGGCCCUGACUAAUGAGGUAUCAGCUGGUCAUUAGACCCUAAUGCUUAUGUCUCUGUAUAAUACUUCAUUUUUACAGGACACCACACUCUUUUAAUAGGGGUGUUAAUGGAGCAUUUUUUUAUUAAACUUAGUGACAAGAUUGGAAAUUGUGGCAAUAUUUUAGAUCCUGCCAUUAAUUGAAUAUAUAUUGGAAUCUAGUUCUUUGUCUUAUAAAAGACAAAGGUAUUAUAAUUGUGAAGAAUUUCAUUUAUGAAAUGUCUGUGACAGGAUCAUUUUUUAAAUUGGAAUUAAAAAAAAAAUUAAAAAAAAUAAAAUAAAAAAUAAAUUGGAAUUUAGAAAUGCAGCUCCCUUCAAGUUAAACUAAAAUAUAUAUUAAACUGCAGAAGCCAUUAAAACCAGUAAGAUUUUUUUUUAAAGAUUUUAUUUAUCUAUUGGAGAUAUGGAGAGAGAGAGAGAGAGAGAGAGAGAGAGAGAGAGAGAGAAUGAGCCAGGGUGGAUUGAGGUGGGGUGAGACCAGCAGGAUUCUUAACCAUCUUAAAUUGAUUGGCUGAAUAAAGCUAAA
rnacentral:lncRNA from 1 species